rnacentral:rRNA from 1 species
UAGGGAAUCUUCGGCAAUGGACGGAAGUCUGACCGAGCAACGCCGCGUGAGUGAAGAAGGUUUUCGGAUCGUAAAGCUCUGUUGUAAGAGAAGAACGAGUGUGAGAGUGGAAAGUUCACACUGUGACGGUAUCUUACCAGAAAGGGACGGCUAACUACGUGCCAGCAGCCGCGGUAAUACGUAGGUCCCGAGCGUUGUCCGGAUUUAUUGGGCGUAAAGCGAGCGCAGGCGGUUAGAUAAGUCUGAAGUUAAAGGCUGUGGCUUAACCAUAGUACGCUUUGGAAACUGUUUAACUUGAGUGCAAGAGGGGAGAGUGGAAUUCCAUGUGUAGCGGUGAAAUGCGUAGAUAUAUGGAGGAACACCGGUGGCGAAAGCGGCUCUCUGGCUUGUAACUGACGCUGAGGCUCGAAAGCGUGGGGAGCAAACAGGAUUAGAUACCCUGGUAGUCCACGCCGUAAACGAUGAGUGCUAGGUGUUAGACCCUUUCCGGGGUUUAGUGCCGUAGCUAACGCAUCAAGCACUCCGCCUGGGGAGUACGACCGCAAGGUUG